rnacentral:lncRNA from 10 species
CGCCAGAUCAGUGUGGGAUCGGCAGCGCCUCCCCCCGUAGCCCCUCCCUCCAGCCAUCCCGGCGCUGCCCACCCACCACACCGCUAGCGCCUCUGAACCUCGCCAGGCACGUCCGGUUCUGCGGCCCCCACUCCGCCCCCGCCUGCCGGGAGCCGCGCAGUUACAAAGUGCCGGGAGCCGUGCAGGGCCAGUGAACCCCUCGCUGAGACUCAGUUUGCUGCCAUCACAAGUGCUCUGAGAAUCCUGGAGAGGGAGGAUAUUGGAGACAAACGGGACUGCUGCCCGCCUUUUAGGCGACCGUUGGAGGCUGCUCUGUGCCGGACACAGGCAGGCUCCCACAGCUCAGAAGUCAGCGGAGCAGAGUCCCCAGGAAACCAGGGUCAGGGAUGGAGGCUGCUGAGGAGCGGGUCUGGGAGGUGGAGGCCAGAUACAAGAAAACCACAGUACCAGUAAAUGACAAAGGCUGGAUCUUAACCCAAGUCCUCCGACUCUGAAGGCCAUACCCAACAGCAGGAGGAGUUGGCUGCACCAAAGGAGCUCAGGAGAAGCUGGAGUCUCAGGCCCAGCAGGAACAGCCAGAGGUUUUGCAGCUUUGCCCAGCGGCUGGGUUCGCCGAAGGGUCUCCCUGGGGGUUCCCAGCAUGAGCCGAAGCCACCCUCCCCUGUGGGAUCUGUGAGGCCAGGCAUUGGGCCUCUUUAGGCCUCAGUUUCCUCCCCUGUCAUAGGCAACUGACAGUCCCUCUGGAGCGCCACUGGGGCUGCAGAGGGAGGCCGGAGAGAUGGUGCCCCCCCUCCUCCCCGCCACCCCCACACACAGCCCUCAGCAGGAUGGUGGCUGCCUGGCCGAUUGCUUUUGCAUUUGCAGCAGAGCGGGGGAGUGAGGCCAAGCUGAGUGCCCCCUCCCCCUGCCCAGCCAGCUCAGACCCAGGCGGUGGAGCAGGAAGGCUCUGGGGAAAACAGUGUGAGUCACCGGGCGGCCAGAGUGUGUCCUUCCCUGCUAGCGCACUACACGGCAGGUUUCAUAGCUUGACAGCAAAGUGUUUGAAAACGAAGAGCAGGAAUUCCGCGGUUCCUGCCCGGCCUCGCCAUCCAGCUGGGAGAAGAGCAUGGUCAUUUC